UACGUAGGGGGCAAGCGUUGUCCGGAUUUAUUGGGCGUAAAGAGCGUGUAGGCGGCCAUACAGGUCCGUUGUGAAAACUGGAGGCUUAACCUCCAGACGUCGAUGGAAACCGUAUGGCUAGAGUCCGGAAGAGGAGAGUGGAAUUCCUGGUGUAGCGGUGAAAUGCGUUGAGAUCGGAAGGAACGCCCGUGGCGAAAGCGAGGUCCUGGACGUCAUCUGACGCUGAGACGCGAAAGCUAGGGGAGCGAACGGG
rnacentral:rRNA from 1 species